rnacentral:rRNA from 1 species
AUUUACAGCCAUACCACCCUGAAUGCACCUGAUCUUGUCUGAUCUCAGAAGCUAAGCAGGGUCAGGCCUGUUUAGUGCUUGGAUGGGGGACCGCCUAGGACUACAUAGCUCUGUAAGAU